GCGCCCUUAGCUCAACUGGAUAGAGUGUCUGACUACGGAUCAGAAGGUUGAGGGUUCGAAUCCUUCAGGGCGCGCCA
rnacentral:tRNA from 1 species